GCCGCGGUAGCUCAGUUGGGAGAGCGUUAGACUGAAGAUAGUUCUUCCGGUGAACCCGGAUUGAAACUAGCCGCACAUCUACAGGUCACCCGUUCAAGCCGGGUUCGUGGCA